UUGCAGCUUCCGCCGCAAUGUAUAUUUUGGUCACUUGCAAAACCACCGUGUACUCCGACACCCGGUAACUCACGUUAUAGCAGUUUGAGCGGGGGCAAAAGAUGAGAGCCCCCCCUAGUUCUCUCAUUUGCCAGUAGAUGGAACCGGAAGUGUUGCCAAAAUGAGUGGUAGCUUCGGCAAUGUUCGCUACCCUCGUCGUGAUUCCCCGACCUACUGAGCUCAGCUUUUAGCCAAGGGAGAUUAUUCGGUCCGUGACUACAAGCGGGAGUAGUAGUGCGCGCCGUGUGUUUCCCAAAUCAAAGUGAAAGAAAAAUAAAGUUAUAAGCUAUAAAGCAAGUUAAUAGAUAGUAGUGCUUGAACAGAUCAAAACUAGGUGUAUUUGAAUUAUAUACACACUCAACAAGAAAAAGAAAAAGGUCCUAGUGGGCCUUUUGUUCCUUUCUUCUAUUCCUUGGUCAACAGGUGGUGAUUUGGCAUUCCCCAGGGCGAAAGUUGGACCGAUUCCCGAACCAGCGCACGCAAAUUCCCGCCGCAAGCUAUAGUUCCGGAUAGAAUUGGGAUCGCUCCAACGUCGCCGGCGUUUCGAUUGAGCCGCGUGGGUAGGUUCCGCCAUUGUGGAACGGGCCGGACCGCACCUUUGUUCCAAGCCGUCGUCCAUUGCUCUCGCUAAGCGUUUUUCGUCAUCGAACCCCACGCCAGCUCGUAUCGUGCGAAGCCAGUUCGGAAACAGCCUUGGUACACCACAAGCCGGGUCGCUUCGUCU